GGGGGGGGUGGGGGGGCUGCUUACUCAGCUAUUCUAAGUGCUAUGUCUUAGUGAGGGAUAUUUGAAAUAUUUAAAACACAUAAAUUAUUUCAGCAAAGUUAAAAACUGAGCAAGAUCAGAAUGCCAAAAUCUUGAUUUUAAAAGUUCUACCUUUAAAGUUCUUUUACUGACAGCAUUCCAUGUCAGCAUUGAGAAACAAACUGUCUAGCUACAGGGCAUCUGCAGGAGACAAGCUCCCUACGACUGUCCACACCAGAAGCAGGGGCUCUGUUCCAAAGGACACUACUCCCAGCCAGCCGGGUCCCCAGACCCAGCUUGGAGCAGGAGCGCCUGGCAGGUGUCUAUCACCAGCCUCUGGACACCAGCUCAUAGCGAGUGGGUCUGGACAGAAACCUGCCUCCACAAGCCCAGACAGAGCUGCUGGUGAAAUGCAUCUGAGGCGGCCUGUGGCUGCGGCCGGCGAGCAGACACAAGUCCUCCCAAGCCAUGACUCUUGGCCACGGCUCCACAUUAGAAACACGUGGACUUUGCAAUCCUGAUGCUACACCCAGCCCAUUAAAUCGGCCUCUUGGAAGGGGGUCCCUGGCAGGAGGGCUGCUAAUGCUCUCCAGGUGAUGCUGAGCAGCAGCCAUGCCCUCUUGUUCUGCUCAGCCCACUUCCACCAUCACACUGGGUUCCUCCUGUCCUGGUCCCUGAAGUGGAGACCCGUCUCCCCACACCAGCCUGCCCGAGGCUGCUUUCUGGGUGUUCUUCCCUUUGGCAUUCUGGGCAAGCUUAGUUAAGUGACCCAAACUCAGACCCUAGCCUGUAAAUCAAACUGCCUCUCCUCCUGGCCAGCCUAUGUGGGUCCCUAGAGCUAAGAAUAAGGAACAGGGCAGAAUAGUUAUUAAUGUAGGGUCUAUUUAUUUUAUGGUUUAUAUUCAUUUUCUUGAGUCAACAAUAAAUACACAUGACACAACAUGUGGAAGGUCUAAAGCAUAAAUUCCCCGCCCUUCGGGCUGGUUUUUCAUGGCUCCCUCCAGAAGUUUGUUUUUUAAAUGUGACUAGAAGAGCCAAGUGAUAAAUCUGACUCCAAAAAUUAAAGUAAAAAUAAGCUCAAACUAAUCUCUAGUCUCUGCUGCAUGGCAAAGUCAGACCAAUUGUGCAUCCUAGAGCAGGGACGGAGGGCCAUGCCACUGCCCCAGGAACCUGCCUUCUGACUGGAGAGCCUGGCUGGGAGCGCAUUUGCCCACACUGCCGCCCUCUGAAAGGAUGGAGCGGCAGCAAGGGAACACGCUCCCAGCUUCCCAGUUGGGAAGCCAGGCAGUACGUAUCUGGCAUCUGCAGUCUGGCCGUGACCUCAUGCACAGGGAGAAGACACAUGACAGAGGGGAGGGGACGGGAACACAGGCUCCGCGAGGGAAGCCUCCAUUCUCAGAGCCGAGUAUCCCCGUCAGGCCACGGCAGCUGUGCGGAGGCUGCCACACCCCUGGGCCGGCCUGCGCCAGGGAGCACGUUGUGAGAACCAUUGUUUUAACUGACAGACACUGUUUCUAAAACUGAACCAGCCACUAAGAAUCUGGAAGUCAUAAACUGAUCUGAGUUCAAAAAAUUUGUGAGGAUAGUUUAAAAUCAUCAGUGAGAUCCCGCCUAAUACUAGCUUAGUAUUUUUCUUGUAGUUUGACUUAUUUUACUCCAGUGAGAGUAUUAGUUGACAUGGUUUCUUUCCUAAGUCAAUAAAUGAAGGCCUAAAAGAAAAUGUGCUAUGUAAAAUGAAAACAGCAACAUGUAAAAUUCACUUUUACUUUUUUUUAAGUUGCUAGUAUCUUUAUUUAAACUUUUUUCCAAACACGGACUAUUACUUAAUUUUUAUGUUCGCUACCUCUAGCUACGGUUUUAAUUGUUUAAAAAAAAAUUUUUUUUCUUUUGGUAUCCUUAAUCUACCAUUACAUGAGGAACAUUCUGUUUACUAGGCUCCCCCCAUCACCAAGUCCCCCCCACAUACCCCUUCACAGUCACUGUCCAUCAGCGUAGUAAGAUGUUGUAGAAUCACUACUUGUCUUCUCUGGGUUGCACAGCCCCACUUUUACUUUUAUUACGUAAAAAUAAUUCAAGUGCUUACCUAAUAAAUCACUAGAUAGGAGGUUAUCUUUCAGCAAAUACGUUAAAAUCUUCGGGAGGAAUAAAGACCUUGUCUGCAGAAUGCUCUCCACUGUGCCCUCCUCAUCCCGCUUCCCUUCUGCAGACACAGGCCUCACUGGUCUCACUGGCUUCUUGUUUCCCUGUGAAUACAACUGUUUCAAGUCUGGGGCUGCCCAAGGAGUCAAGGGUCUGUAUCUUGAGACCCUCAGAACCUGAACUUCCCUAAGGAGCAUGGGCUCUUUGCAUUGAAGUGUCCCAAGUCUUCCAGUCAAGUCUUGUGACCACCCACCCCGACAGGAUUAUGCUCUGUGGGGGCUUCACAAAGAACAGUUCCCAUAUUGCCCGUGGGAUGCAAGACAAUUUUGGAGGCACACAGAGACCAUCCCGAGAGACCCCACCUUUCCCCCAGCUGUUCCAGUGGAGUUACAGAGCCAAAGCGGGAGCGACAUCAGAGCAUAAUAUUCUGGCUUGUGAUGUCUGUAUAUCUGAAAGGCUGCAUAGGAAGGAGGUGGCAGCAGGACCAGGGCCAACGGAGAGGGGCCAGAAAGAGCUACUUCAGUGGAGACUAGCAGAGCCGGCCUGGGAGGCGGCGGCCCCUCAGCUGGGGGCCUCCAGUGCUGGGAGACAGGACCAACUGCAGGAGCGUCCGGGGCAUCCCCACCUUGAUGUUUUAGGCUUACAGGCUGAACGCAAGAACUCUUGCCAUCAUCUCUUCAAGAGCAGUGACUGCUACUUGCUGUUUCUGUAUAAAUCACUGGUUUCCUUGAAUUACUCUGAAUAAAUUCAUGCAUGGAA